GGCGGGCUAGCUUAGUGGUAGAGCGCCUCAAAGGUUAUGGAUUUAAAUCUCGAGGUUCGGGGUUCAAAUCCCGAUCCCGCCG
rnacentral:tRNA from 1 species